rnacentral:piRNA from 1 species
UGACAAACUCGGUUGUGACAGUGCUG